AAUGAAUGCUUUGGUUCAAAAAAUAAGGUAGUUCCUAUGGAAGAACGAAAAUGAUAAGAUUUUAUUAUUACUGAAAAAUGUAACACAUCAAAUUGAGGACCUAUUUUAGAUAUAGAGAGACAAUACAGCAUAAUGAGGAAUUAAAAUUAAAAGGACUUGAACUAAAAUUAAAAGGUGAUGAGUUAAAGUUGAAAAAAAUUGAAGUGAAUAAAGUAAUUUUCUGUCAAAUAUUGAAGAACAAAAGAUUGCUGGAAUGAACGAAAAAUAUUAACACUAUGCUUCACAAUGUAAUGUAAAUUUUAUGGAAGAAGGAAUGUUUGAAGGUAUAUUAAAAAAAUGUAAAUUAUUUAA